UACGAAGGGGGCUAGCGUUGCUCGGAAUCACUGGGCGUAAAGCGCACGUAGGCGGAUUGCUAAGUCAGGGGUGAAAUCCUGGAGCUCAACUCCAGAACUGCCUUUGAUACUGGCGAUCUCGAGUCCGGGAGAGGUGAGUGGAACUGCGAGUGUAGAGGUAAAAUUCGUAGAUAUUCGCAAGAACACCAGUGGCGAAGGCGGCUCACUGGCCCGGUACUGACGCUGAGGUGCGAAAGCGUGGGGAGCGAACAGG
rnacentral:rRNA from 1 species